GUGAAUCAUCAAAUCUUUGAACGCAACUGGCACUCCCUGGUAUUCCGGGGAGUAUGCCUGUUUGAGGGUCGUUAGAACAAAAAGCGAAGCGUCGCUCUUUUUUUUAAGGGUGAUCGCGUCUGAAUUUUGCAGUCUUCUAAAUGAUAAUUUAUGUCAAAGUAGCUUAAAGUUAAUUCAUCCGGUACGAAUAAUUCG
rnacentral:misc_RNA from 1 species